rnacentral:tRNA from 1 species
GCGCUCGUAGCUCAGUAGGAUAGAGCGCGGGAUUCCUAAUCCCGAGGUCGCAGGUUCGAAUCCUGCCGGGCGCACCA